rnacentral:rRNA from 1 species
UCCGACCUCAGAUCGGACAGAUUACCCGCUGAAUUUAAGCAUAUCA